rnacentral:rRNA from 1 species
CCUACGGGGAGCUGAAGUGAGGAAUAUUGGUCAAUGGACGAGAGUCUGAACCAGCCAAGUAGCGUGAAGGAUGACUGCCCUAUGGGUUGUAAACUUCUUUUAUAUGGGAAUAAAAUGUUCCACGUGUGGGAUUUUGUAUGUACCAUAUGAAUAAGGAUCGGCUAACUCCGUGCCAGCAGCCGCGGUAAUACGGAGGAUCCGAGCGUUAUCCGGAUUUAUUGGGUUUAAAGGGAGCGUAGGUGGAUUGUUAAGUCAGUUGUGAAAGUUUGCGGCUCAACCGUAAAAUUGCAGUUGAAACUGGCAGUCUUGAGUACAGUAGAGGUGGGCGGAAUUCGUGGUGUAGCGGUGAAAUGCUUAGAUAUCACGAAGAACUCCGAUUGCGAAGGCAGUUCACUGGACUGCAACUGACACUGAGGCUCGAAAGUGUGGGUAUCAAACAGGAUUAGAUACCCCAGUAGUC